rnacentral:rRNA from 1 species
GACGGAGGAUGCAAGCGUUAUCCGGAAUGAUUGGGCGUAAAGCGUCCGCAGGUGGCAGUUCAAGUCUGCUGUCAAAGACCGGGGCUUAACUUCGGAAAGGCAGUGGAAACUGAACAGCUAGAGUAUGGUAGGGGCAGAGGGAAUUCCUGGUGUAGCGGUGAAAUGCGUAGAUAUGUGGAGGAAUACCGAUGGCGAAGGCAGCCCCCUGGGAUAACACUGACGCUCAUGCACGAAAGCGCGGGGAGCAAACAGG